ACGAACGCUGGCGGCGUGCUUAACACAUGCAAGUCGAACGGUGAAGCCUUUCGGGGUGGAUCAGUGGCGAACGGGUGAGUAACACGUGGGCAAUCUGCCCUGCAUUCUGGGACAAGCCUUGGAAACGAGGUCUAAUACCGGAUACGACGCAUCUCCGCAUGGGGUGUGCGUGGAAAGCUCCGGCGAUGCAGGAUGAGCCCGCGGCCUAUCAGCUUGUUGGUGGGGUAAUGGCCUACCAAGGCGACGACGGGUAGCCG
rnacentral:rRNA from 1 species